UCCCAGGGGAAGGACAGACAAGAACCUCCUUUAAUCAGGUGCCUCCCCAGCAGUGGCCAAGCCUUGCUCUGGCAAGCUUUCUAUGCCGCCCAGGUUUCUGGAAUGGGUCCAUCAGAGUUUCAAUUGCACCUCUGUUGGCCACAGCAUUGAUAAGGAGAGGAAGCUUGUAUGCAGAUCAGUUCUGAGAUACUGCACAGAAAGGAAGCUACUUCUGUUGCGUCACCCUGUGCCCUGGGAGGAUUGAGGAUCCGCAGGACCCAGGGCUGAUCCCCACCCACCUCAUCUCUGGCUUCUGCCUGCCAGGUGGGACUUUUAGGUUUUCUUAUUUCUUUUUAUUAAUUGAUCCAGUUAUUUCACAUGUGAUUUGUAAUUUUCACUUAAAAUGGAAAAUGUGAGUGACAUCAAGCAUUGGCUUUCUGCAUAUUUAUUGGGUAUCCAUUGUGGGCUGGUGGUGGAAAUUCAGAGGUGAACAGGAGGUUGCUGCCAUCCUUGCCCCCUUAGGAACUGCAGUUCAGCUUGGGAGACAGACAAAGGCAUUAAUCACAGAUAUAGAUAAAUGAAAAAUUGCAACUCUCAUAAGCCUUGUGAAAGAGAAGAAAUGAAAUAGAUAUAAUUUUGUAUUUGUCCAUUAUGCCUUAAUAAAGCUGGGGGAAAGAAGAGAAGAAAUGGUGCCAGAGAGUCUAUGAAAGGGAUUCUCCUUAGGGAAGUUAGAAGAGGCUUCCCUGAAGCUGCAAUGAAAUGAGCUCAUGCAGGAAGGAAAAUAGGGGCCAGACAGGUGAGCAGGCCCAGAAGGUGCGUUUCAGGCCACGGGAAGAGCCAGGGCAAAGGCCCUGGGAUGAGGCUUAACAUGCCACAGUGGUUUCCUGAGCUGUUACAACAAAUUUCCAUGAACUUAGUGGCUUAAAACAACAGAUAUUGAUUCUCUCACAGUGCUGGAGGCCAGAAGUCUGAAAUCCAGGUGUCAGCAAAGCCAUGUUCCUCCUGGAGGCUCUAGGGGAAAGAUCCUUCCUUGCCUCUUCCAGCUUCUGAUGGUUGUCAGCAACCCUUGGCGUUCCAUGGUUUGAAGACGCCUUACUCCAGUCUCUUCCUUUUUCACACGGCCUUCUCCCCUGUGUCCCGGUGCCUCAAACCUCCUUUUUCUUUCUUUCAAAAAGACACAAGUCGGCCAGACGCGGUGGCUCACGCCUGUAAUCCCAAUACUUUGGGAGGCCGAGGUGGGCAGAUGAGGUCAGGAGUUCGAGACCAGCCUGGCCAACAUGGUGAAACCCUGUUUCUACUAGAAAUAUAAAAAUUAGCCAGGCCUGGUGGCGGGCACCUGUAAUCCCAGCUACUCAGGAGACCGAGGCAGGAGAAUCGCUUGAAAGUGGAAGGCGGAGGUUACAGUGAGCCGAGAUUGUGCCACUGUACUCCAGCUUGGGUGAGAGAGCGAAAUUCUGUCUCAAAAAAAAAAAAAAAAAAAAAAAAAAAAAAAAAAAAAAAGACACAAGUCAUUGGAUUUAGGGCCCAUCCUAAAUCCAGGAUGAUCUUGUAUCAAGGUCUUUAACUGAAUUACUCCUGCCAAGACCCUUUUUCCAAGUAUUGUUUCAUUCACAAGUAUGGGGGGUUAGGACUUGGACAUAUGUUUUUGGGGACAUUAUUCAAUUCACUACAUGAGUCUGAGAAAUUGAAAGCAGACUCACAUGGAUGGAUUGUAAGGAGCCCGGGGUCCUGGCAUGGGCUGAGGCAAAUCUCACAGGCAUGAAGCCAUGCUAAGGGGACUGGAGCUGCUAAAGGACUUUAUGAAGGAAAGUACCGGAAUUUGAUUUGUUCUUUAUAACAAUCUCAAGGGCCACAAAGUAUAGAAUUUACAGGAGGGGGCAACAUGGGUGAGGGCGAUCUAUUAAGAGGUUGCUGAAGCUAUCAGAUGAAAUGCUGGUGUCUGUGUCUUUGUUUAGGGACUGAAGGGCCAGAUGGAGAAAGAAAAACACAUGUAAGGGGUAUUUUGGAGAUGAUGGAUUUGAUCUGGAGUGUGAGGAAGAGAGAGGGGUCAAGGAUAACUUCUGCAUUUCUUUCUUUGCUGUGAAACUAUUUGGGAUGUGGACUUUUGGGAGAGGUGCAGAUUUUGGGGGAAGAUCUUGAGUUCAGUUUUGAAUCUGUUGAGUUUGAGGUGUCUGUGGUUGAUGGCUUUCACAAAUGGUCCCACUUAUUCUCUCCCAGUGUUCACACCCCUUUGCAAUGUGACUUUGCAGUUCCUCCAUUGAAUGGAGGAGUCAAUUUUCACAUCCCUGGGCUGGCCUUGUGACAUGUUUGGCCUGCAGGAUGUGGAAGACGGGACACCCUGCCAGCUAUAAGCCUGUCUCAGGAGUCCUUACAAGCUUCCACUAACUCUUUUAGAGCCCUCCAGGAUCUCCAAGUGGACAGGCUCAUGCUGACCUGUUGAAUGAUGAGAGACCACAUGGAGCAAGAUGAGCCAUCCCAGCUGAGCCCAUCCUAGGCUACCUGGCUCUAGCUGACCUUGAAUGAGAUCAGCCAAGAUCAAAAUAACUAUCCAGCUAAUUCCAGCCUGAGUUACUAACUUCAGAAUCAUGAGCAAACUAGCUGGAUUUUAGGGAUGGUUUAUUAUGCACCAGUAGCUGAUAAAGUCCCUUGAGCCAGCCAAAUAGAGAUGGGAAAAGGCAAUCAAGUAGUUGGACGUACAAGUAUAGGGUUCAGAUUUGAGAUUUAGGUAGGAGAAACAAAUGUGUGUAUCUCCUGGAUAGAAGGAAUAAGUUUGUGAAGGAGACAGAAAAGGAGUGGCUGGAGAAGUGGCAGAGAAACUAGGAGAAGCCACAGAAGGAAGAAGUUGUGGACAGUGUCAGCUCCUGCUGAAGGUUUAACUGGAUUUUAAAGCAAGGGACAGCAUGAGCACAGUGAGUGGAGGCAUGGCUGGAGAUGGCCCAGAGAUCCCUCACCUGUUAGGGUGAAGCCAAAGCCUGACCCUGAAAAGUUCUCGAUCGUCUAUUUACAAUUUGCUUAGUUUUUUGGGAAGAAUUGAUUUUUGAUUGCACAAGUGAGGUGAUUGCAAAAACAGCCACAGAUUCUUCCCAUCCCUGUUUGUGUGCCCUUUGCAAUGACUUUGCAGGAACUUUCAAGAGGUAUCCACCCCAUGUAUCUGGCUGGAACACAUGACUUGCUUUGGCCAAUGGGACAAUAACAGCCAUGACUUAAGUAGAGGCUUGAAGAGUGUAUGCAUGAAGCUUCCUUCUGUGUUCUCAGGAUCCCUGCUAUGGCCCCAGCGUGAAGAAGCCAAGACUAGCCUGCUGGGUAAUGAGAGAUAGAUGGCCCAGUGAUUCCUGCUUCCUAGCCAAUAGCCAGCAAGCCCCAGAAGCAGAGCCACCUAGGUAAAUGGCAGAUGACUGCAGACACUUGGAGGAGCCCACCCAAGAUCAGCAAAAGAACUGCCCAGUUGAGCCUGGCCCAAAAUGCUGACCCUCAGAAUCAUCAGCUAAAUAUGCAAUUUAUAUUUUAAGCCACAGUUUCUUAUCCAUAGAGUGGAAGUAAUAAUAGUGUUUUCUUACUAGGGUUUUUAUAUAGAUUAAUUAGAGUAACUGAGACAUGUAAAGUUCUGAAAACAACACCUCGCACAAUAAAUGUUGAUUCUUCUUUUAUAAUAAUAAUCACCACCAUCUCCUCCUCCUCCUUCCACCAUAUUUCCAGAUAUAGAAAAAUCCACUUUGUAGUCUUUCUGCUACUGAAGAACAUUUAGAUUAUCUGUGUUUUUGCCAUGAACAUCCUUGUACUUGCCUCUUUGAGUGUUUCUGCAAGUUUGUCUCCAGGGUAGAUACGGAGAAGGAGAAGAACUGGAUCAUAGAGCAUAUGUGUCUUGAAUUUUAAAAGAUAUUCUCAAAUUUAUGCACCUCCCAGCAGCAAGGGGGCUCCCAUUUCCUCCACACUCACACCUGUACUUGCUGUCACCAGAAAUGCUGCCUCUCUGUUUUACUUUGCCUUGCUCCAACUUCUCGUGAAGUUGGCCGUCUUUUGCAUGUUUGUUGUUUGUGGUUCCCUUAAAUGGGCUGACUUCCCUUCAGAGCCUCUUCCCUCGGGAAACCCUGCCUCUCACAUAGGCCCCAACUUGGGUCAUUUAUAUUCCUCCCUGUUCCAGUGAAGUCUCUGAAUUGUAAGGAGCAGAACCCAGAUAGGUAGUUCAAGUAAGAAGAGGGUCUGCUGAAAGAAGCUGGCAAAAUCUCAUGGAACUCAAGGCAGGAAGGAUGGGCCCAGUUCUUACAGAAACUGGGCAGUUGUUAUUUCUUUUUCUCUGGGACCCUGCGGGCUCUCUCCUCUCUCUCUGCCCCUUCCCCUUCUUCUUCCAUCAUUAACCUGAUCUGUUCAAUUGCUGGAGGAAGGAACCUGAUUGGAUGAGCCCUGUCAGUGGGUUGGCUCCCUUUUGGUCCGGUGCUCAUCCUGCCCAGUUGGCUGCAGCUGCUUGGAGCACAGGGCUCCUGCUCCCUCUCCCUCUCCCUCUCCCUCUCCCUUUCUUCUUCCUCCUCUUCCUCCUCCUCCUCCUUCUUCUUCUUUUUCUUUUUCUGAUGGAGUCUUGCUCUGUUGCCCAGGCUGCAGUGCAGUGGUUCAAUCCCGACUCACUGCAACCUCUGUCUCCUGGGUUUAAGCAAUUCUUGUGCCUCAGCCUCCUGAGUAGCUGGGAUUACAGACACUGGCCACCCAAAGUGCUGGGAUUACAGGCAUGAGCCACCACACCUGGCCAAGGCUGCCUUUUCUGGCCAUGGGUGAAACACGUAGCUUAGGCACACCCAGGGGACUCUAUCCCGGGAGUGGGCCAACACUGUUUCCCAGGC
rnacentral:lncRNA from 10 species